GACAGAGGCCCCAAGCGUUAGGCGGAAUCACUGGGCUUAAAGCGUGUGUAGGCGGAUCGUUAAGUGUCUUGUGAAAUCCCACGGCUCAACCGUGGAACUGCUGGGCAUACUGGACAUCUCGAGGCACUCAGGGGCGAGCGGAACAAGUGGUGGAGCGGUGAAAUGCGUAGAUAUCACUUGGAACGCCAAUGGUGAAGACAGCUCGCUGGGGGUGUCCUGACGCUGAGGCGCGAAAGCCAGGGGAGCGAACGGG
rnacentral:rRNA from 1 species